CUACGGGGCGCACCAGUGAGGAAUAUUGCGCAAUGGAGGCAACUCUGACGCAGCCAUGCCGCGUGCAGGAAGAAGGCCUUAUGGGUCGUAAACUGCUUUUAUUUAGGAAUAAACCCCCGAACGUGUUCGGGGCUGAAGGUACUAAACGAAUAAGCACCGGCUAACUCCGUGCCAGCAGCCGCGGUAAUACGGAGGGUGCAAGCGUUAUCUGGAUUUAUUGGGUUUAAAGGGUGCGCAGGCGGGCUAUUAAGUCAGUGGUGAAAUCCCGGGGCUCAACUCCGGAACUGCCAUUGAUACUGAUAGUCUUGAGUUUGGUUGAAGUGGGCGGAAUGUAGCAUGUAGCGGUGAGAUGCAUAGAUAUGCUACAGAACACCAAUCGCGAAGGCAGCUCACUAAGCCAAAACUGACGCUCAUGCACGAAAGCGUGGGGAUCAAACAGGAUUAGAUACCCUGGUAGUC
rnacentral:rRNA from 1 species